GAGAGAAAGGGAAAAGAGAGAAAGGGGAAUGUGAAAAGUAAAGAAAGAAGAAAAAGAAAGACAGGAAUAAAUAAAGAAGACAAGAAAUUAGGAAAAAUAAAGAAGGGAAGAGGGAAAACAAGAGACAGGGUGGGAGUCUAUUUAGGAAGGGAUACAAGGUAAAAAGAGAAGGAAAAAAGACAGACAAAGGGAAGGAAAGAUGUAAAGAAAGGAAGAGAGAAGUAUGAAAUUAUACAUCAGGAAGACAAAAGUCGAGAGGAAAUGGAAUAAGGAACAAGAUGGAAGAGAGAGAGAGAGAGAGAGAGAGAGAGAGAGAGAGAGAGAGAGAGAGAGAGAGAGAGAGAGAGAGAGAGAGAGAGAGAGAGAGAGAGAGAGAGAGAGAGAGAGAGAGAGAGAGAGAGAGAGAGAGGGAGGAGGGGAGGCGGAGGAGGAAGGCACUCACCACUCUGUCCCUCUAGCCACUCACCACCACCACCACCCCCAUCACCGUCACCACCACCACAACCACCACCACCAUCACCUCCACUAGAUUUAAACCUAACAAUAAUAAUGAUACUAAUAAAUCCGAUAUAUUUUCUGAUGUUGUGGUCAAAUGUACGUAGAAUCUAUCCGUGUGUACUGAUUUACUACUAUACAUAAUCCUACAUAAUACAAUACAUAUAUAUUAUUACAACGUACUUAGAGAGGUGUUUAAUAUAUUGUGUAUGUGUGUAAAUAUACGUAACUUUCAUAGCUGUGUGUGUGUGUGUGUGUGUGUGUGUGUGUGUGUGUGUGUGUGUGUGUGUGUGUGUGUGUGUGUGUUUGGUGUUGGUAUAGUUAAGGCGAUAAACCAACAACAGCUCAGAGUAACAUUAUCAUCCUUAGUGUUCUUGUUACUUUCUUUCUUUCUUUUUCUUUUUUUUUUUUCGUUUCCUUGGCUGACUGCUCAGUGAAGGGAGCAAGGCAGGGUUGGGAACACUGAUUCUGCUGAUACUACUGAUCUUACUGCUACUUCUACUACUACUACUACUACUACUACUACUACUACGAAACCACCAUCACCACCACCACCAAGCCACCUCCACAACAAAUAAGAAAUAUAGUAACAAUAAAAACACCAUCACAACGAGAACGACCACCACCACCACCACCACCACCACCUAUAAAUGCCGCCACGCUCCCAACUCCCAUCACAAGGCAGAUGAGGCGGCGUGCAUCCUUCCGGCCAUAUUCAGAAACGCUUCACUCUCUCACCACGACAAUUUUUCAAGUCCCCUUAGACGACUAGCUGAGUUUUCAAGACAGUUUCUCCUUAUGAUAAACUAGAAAUCUUGUUAAUCCAUCACCAGAACCAUAAAAAUACCCUUAAAAUUAUGAACAUCUUCAACGAGAGCCUUUGAAAAUAGUCAACGUGUGAGAACAAAACGUUUAUGAAUACUGAUGCUGCAGUCCCCCGAGCCACGCACACCUCAACCUCUUCAUUGAGUUCACCACCUCGGGAUGAACGCGCGUGUGAUCGUUGUUUACAAGUCCGGCAGAAGGAACACCACUGAGUCUGCCAAAGUGGAAGGACGAGAAGUGUGCAUUUUUUCUUUCUUUUUUCUCAGGGAGGGUUUGAUAAGUGAGUUUCCGGGUCAGAGGUGGUACAAAAGGCCGAUAUUCCGAAACACUUCCGCGUCUCACAAUACCUUCACUAUUUUUCAAAGAGGUGUAGUUGAAGUGACACGGGUUUUUAAGGAUGUUUCUGUAAUUCUAGUGACAUGUUGAUAAGUUUUCUGGAUUAUCAGCAGGGAAAUUACUCUAUAGAACCCGGUUAAUUGUCUCUGUAAUCUUUCAAAAUGGUCGUGAUGAGAGAGAGAGAGAGAGAGAGAGAGAGAGAGAGAGAGAGAGAGAGAGAGAGAGAGAGAGAGAGAGCGUUACUGAAUAUGGCGCUCUGUGGUGACUUGUCAAGGAAACGAGACCCAAAGGAAAGUCACAAUAUUUUCCAGCCAC